CUUGAGUGCUGUGGCAGGGCCAGUGUCACACCUUGGUGCUGCUUUGGGGGCAGGUCCUGUUCCAGCCCUCCCUGUGCCUCUUGUUCUCUCCUUCUGUCCUUUCUGCUGCCUUGUUUGCCUUGUGGAAGGGGAACAUUUGAACACAGCACUCAAACCUGAGAGGAACAAAUGUCUCCAAGAUAAUUUACGUUCUGCAAGAUCUGUGAAAGAUGAAAAAGAGUAAAGAGACCUCAGAUGCCCCCACAAGAUGGGAAAGGCUGGGAAAUGAACUCUUGAUGUUGGAGAGUAUUCCUUUGGGAUAGAUUACAAAUCCCAGUUACUGAGAUCUCUGCUUAGAGCUCAGAGUUCUUAAACAUGGGAUGUUGAUCUCCCUGGACCUCACUCUAUUUUUACUCUUGUGUGGACUGGGGAACUUGCUGUAGCUGUGGGCCUUAAAUACAAACCAUCAGUUUGACUCUUCAAGACCUUCUUAAGAGGCUGCCUGCAAGCAAGUGUGAAAUGUGUUUCCUGAAUCUUUCUUGGCCUCCUGAGGCUGGACCUAGCUCUGUGAUUAGAGCUUGUGUAUGGUAACUAUGCCUGUAGAGAGGUGAGCAAGGAGAAACAGUAAGCAUAAGGUCUUUGAAAAGCUCUCAGAAAUCUUUCUGUGAAAAGACUUUACCUGGCAGAAUUUCUUAAUUCUAUAUGACAAAUUGUUCUUGUUUUAAAAUUUAGCUGGCGUAGGAAGAGGAGGGUGGAAUUGAUGCAUACAAUUUGGAUUUGUGGAAGAUGGAGCUGCCUCUGCCCAGGAUUGAACUUCAGGAUCAUUACCAGCAAUCAUUACCAACUUCAGAAUCAUCACCAAAGCCAUCACUGGGAGUAGAAACCAAUUUUCAUAUUUUUUGAGCCAUGCUAAAGAGGUUAUCUUCCCUGUGCUAUGAGAAAAGAACAGUCUGCUGAUUAACUGAAUGGAGACUUGUGCCUUGGGCAAGUUCUGGGAAAGAAUUGGCUAUAAACUUUUAGACAUGAGACUGAGAUUGGAUUCUGACCAUUGUGUGAACUACAGGUCUGGAGAUUCUCAUCCUCUCUUUUUGCACAGGAUGAUUGUACUAAAUAAAUAAAUAAAGAGAGAGAGAAAGGAAGAAGAUAAGUUUGUAAUAAAGCCUGAUUUCUAGGCAGUUUCACCAGGGGAAAACUCAUCUUUCAUGCCAGCCUGCAGGAAGUCUUCACUGUGGUAUACAGAAGAAAUAUGAAAAUGCUACAGAUAAAGAGUCCCUUUUCCUCAAAUCCUUGGGAUUUUCAAAAGUAAUUAGUGAGUGAUUUAUGUUACUCUGAGUUUUGACGAGAUGCAAUGGAUUAAUUUCAAGAACCUUCCUAGACAGUCAUUUAUAGCACACUGUAUGUUACUUAUGAGAGAAAGUGAAUUCUCACUCUUUUGCCCAAAGCUCUGUGUCUGAAUUUUUAGACAGGGAUUGGCAACUCUCUUCCCUGGAAUUUAAAUUUGUUCAAUCCAUAGUCAGAUGAGGACUAUUUUGCUCUAUCACCUGAGAGUUUAGAUCCAAGGGAACAUUGUUGUGUGGCUUCUGCCUGCUGCCCUCAGGGUCAGGAGAGGCAAGUGAGGCCCCUGGGACCAUGCAGCAGGAGGUGGGGAGUGCCAGGCAGAGCCCCUGGGACAGGGAUGCUAUGGACUGGGAUGUAUCCAGCUCCUGGGACAGGGAUGCUAUGGACUGGGAUGCUAUGGACUGGGAUAUUAUCCAGCCCCUGGGACUGGGAUGCUAUGGACUGGGAUGCUAUGGACUGGGAUGUAUCCAGCUCCUGGGACAGGGAUGCUAUGGACUGGGGUGUUAUCCAGCCCCUGGGACAGGGAUGCUAUGGACUGGGUUGUAUCCAGCCCCUGGGACAGGGAUGCUAUGGACUGGGAUGUUGUCCAGCCCCUGGGACAGGGAUGCUAUGGACUGGGAUGCUAUGGACUGGGAUGUUGUCCAGCCCCUGGGACAGGGAUGCUAUCCAGGGACAGGGCUGCCCUGAGCAGCUGAAGGGCUCCUGGGCACCCCAAGCCCUGGGGGUGAAGGGUGUUUGGGUCCUGGAUUUGAAGUUUAGAGAUGCCCAAAUGUGUGGGGCUGAGGUAGCUCAUAGGUGUGACCUGCUAAAGGUUGGGGAAGAUUUGAUGUCAAGCAGUGUAUUGCCCGUUGUUUUAAAGGUGUGUGGCUAUAAAAGUAGAAUCUCUUAAUUUCCUUUAGAACUUGAACCAGUUACACAACAGCCAAAAAAAGAUUUCUAAUUUUAAUAAAAGUCAAGUAGAGACUAAUCUACACUGCAGUGUCCCCAGGACAUUUGCAAAGUUCUGGAAUUCCUUCAGCUGCACAAACAGAAAUUUAUAAAUAUUUAUUGAAAUGUAGUUUAUUGAAAAUGUCACCUGUGCAACUGGAAGUGAACAUGAAAGAGAAACUGAGGUGGCAGGGAACAGCUUGUUUACAGACAAGUUGUCCACUUGGUUUUGUAUUUCUGGUUUAUGAGUGGCUGCUUUAAUUUUGGUCCCUGCCAGCUGCUUCUGUGUACAUGGUUCAGAAAAAUAUCCAAGAGAAAAUGGAUACUUUAGGAGGCAGAUUGUGGCAGCCAUCACUUAAUGGAAUGGCUGCUGAAGGAUUCAACAUUACUGGAAAAAAGUGUGUUUUGAGGGAAAUCAGCUGCCACUGCUGCACAUGCUGAAUAUGCUGUUAAGACAUCAUGCACAAUACUAAAAGGAAGGGAGCAAAAUAUAAACACCAGCAAUUCUAAAUGCUACUGUAGAGAGUCUUGUCACCUAUCUCCAGUGGUGAGACUAAAAUGCAGUCUAAACAAAUUCAUAGGAUUUCCAAGUUUUUGAGAGCUACUCAAUUUUUUGUUCACAUUUUGUGGUCUAUAAUUUGUACUUUAGUUUUAAGAAUCUCUCUUUUGGGCAAUGUUUGAGGAAUUCAGCAUCUCUAUUUAUCCUGAUUAGGCUAGAUACAGGACUAUUUAAUCAGCACCCAGAACUUAUCUCACACUAGGUUUAUAACAGCAUAAAUCUCCAUCUUUCAAUUUCUUUUAAAAGAUAAAAUCUUGCUCAAAUUUGACUUCAGGAAAAACUUCUUGUGCCCAUUGCAUGCUUGUGAACAUGAGAAAGGCAAAUCUUAAAGCAUGAAAAAGUAGAAAGUUGUGUUUAUAAAAUACUAAACUGUAACAUAAAAUAUCUAAGUAUUGAAUGAAAAAAAAAUUCCCCUCAUAUUUUAAAUUGGGGCAUUUUAAUUGCAGGUACUUAUCCCUCACUUUACACAUUGCUGGCUGCAGAGUUUGAGGUAAAUACAGCCACCCUACUUCUAUCUGAGUUUUGUAGUGUGUAACAAUCUGCCCUGGAAAUGGAGCAUUCUCUUCUGCUCCUCAAAGCAAACUACAUGUAAUUGUCAAAAAGUAAAGCUGGCCUAGAAAGAAUUGUUGGGCUUUGAAUUUUAUUUUUUGAAUGAUGAAUUGUGCUUUUUGAAGAAAAACUUUUCAUUAUUUGACAUGGGUGAUCUAGUAUACUGAGAUUAGUAAGCCUAAAAUAGAUUGACGUGAAGUUAAAUAGAGGGUGGAAAAUGUACACUGAAAUACCUGAAUAUAUUUGUGAAGAACCAUAUUUGUUCAGCUGCAGAAUGUUCCUCUUUUACACACUUUCUGUGCCUCUUACCAUUUUUUAAUACUUUUGUGUUUCUUUGCCAUAUAUGUUGUAUACAGUUAUAUAUAACAGGUGUAUAAAUGAUUUUAAAAAAACAACCAACCAAAGCUCCAAACUUGUGAAUUGAAAGUUGGCUGUAUAAAUCUCUUCCAUAUAAACUUAUUCAAUACUCAUUGAUAUUGAGUUCUUCAAAGUGCUAGUUGACUUCCAGGUCUGAAACUUCUGGGAGGAGGAGCUAAAGCAGCUGCACUGAACCUGACUGAUCACAGCUGUGUUGUGCCUGGGUACUUGGAUCCACCUGCACGGCAUAAACACCUACACUGCUGCAGUUUUGAAAAGUAAGAUUCUGUUUAGCAGCAUGCAGGUUGAAUUAAAGAGCUGCUGGCCUCGUGUUUUCCUCAUUGAGUUGGAGCAGUUUGAUGAAGGCAGUGUUGCUUUCAGUGCUCCUCACUCGCUGAUUCAGAGAGAUGUAACCACUGUGUAGCAGCAGGGAAGGUGCAGAAUCCAAUUACAGCUUUUCAUGUUUGGGUUUACUGAUUAGUUUUACUAUUUCAGAUGUUAAACCUGCAGUUCCUGUUUGCUUAUCUUUAUUUGUUACUUGCUAAAUUUUAAAUGCUGUAAGAACUGGAGCUGGCAUUGUAGGUUUUUUCAGAAAAUUUCAUAUCUCUCUUCAACCGAGUGAGAAGGAAAGAAGGGAUUAAUUUGAACUUCAUGGUAUUGUAAUGAUUUUUCACUGCUAUGAAUUGGUUUUGCUCCCUGUAGUCUCUGUCCUUUAUUGCAUUAGUGCUGCAGAACAAUAGUGGUGGGAGAUAUUGCUUUAUGAACUCCAGUGUCUCAGAACUGCCGUUGUCAUUCAUCACCUAAUAUAGGCUAACUGAUGCUACUACAGACCAUUCCAGAAUGAAAAAGAAGCUUUUCUGCUUUAGCUAGGUGGUCACUUCAUCUGUAGUGAGCACGGAAAGCCAAAUAAAUAUUUGAUGUGAACCUUUAUAAAAAUAGAUAAAAAAGCAAAAGUCUUGUUUUAUGUGAAGAACUCAUAGAUUAGAAGUAAAGAACAAAAUAACUGCAAGAAUUUUAUGCUACAAGAUGCUCCAGAGGUUUAUUUUUCUUUAUAUACUGUUUCAAGACUUACAAAUCAAUCGUUUUAAGCUCAUGUAAACUGCACAUUUCUUUUGCCGACUAGAUACAAAUAAUUUGUACACAAUGUGGCUUUAAAGACUUCCUCUGGAGCACUGUAGGGUAAAAAAACGGCUUCCCCUUCCCCCUCACUUUGAUGAAAUAGGGACUUUUUCUUGAAUAUUUAAUGGUUGUUUAAAGUCUGCUAUUAACAAAUUACUUCUGUAUGAAAAGUCACAGUGACAUUUAAACACUGCCGCCAGGGUCACCGGCAGCUUGCGGGACGGUUCUGAGCGGGCCAGUGCGCUUUGGUGGCCGUGUCGCAGCCGGCACGGAGGCUGAGGCGGCACUGGUGUCGCACACCAGGGGAGCUCCCUGCUCCCACCCCGCUGCCACCCUGCCCCGACAAGGCUCGGAGAGAGGAGCCCUCCUGCUACAGAUCCUACCCUUCACUGUCAGGCUGGAAGGGGCUUAGAAGUUUUUCCAGAAAGGGAGCUUGGCUGUUAAAUAUCCCUGCAGAAAACGUGGGAGGAGUAUUGAAAUGUUUUGAUAAGGGAUACGAAGAUUGCUUACACAUUUAGCUCCUUCACCCUCUUGUACUGUUUUCUUGCAUUUAUUAAAUAGUGUGCUACCAGGUAAGGCACACACCGGGUGAAUUUGUGCUUUAUCUGCUGUUAAUAAACC